rnacentral:rRNA from 1 species
UGAAUACGAGAUGCUACGGCGUCGAAGCAGUCUAUGUCAUACUUCCAAGAAAAGCUUGCACUGUCAUAAACAAAUAAUGCCUGUACCAUAACCGACACAGGUGGGUAGGUAGAGUAUACUAAGGGGCGCGAGAUAACUCUCUCUAAGGAACUCGGCAAAAUGACUCCGUAACUUCGGGAGAAGGAGUGCCUUAUUUAUAAGGUUGCAAUAACAAGAUCCAAGCAACAGUUUACCAAAAACACAGGUCUCCGCUAAGUCGUAAGACGAUGUAUGGGGGCUGACGCCUGCCCAGUGCCAGAAGGUUAAAGAAGUUGGUUAGCAUCCGCGAAGCUGAUAACUGAAGCCCUGGUGAACGGCGGCCGUAACAAUAACGGUCCUAAGGUAGCGAAAUUCCUUGUCGGGUAAGUUCCGACCCGCACGAAAGGCGUAAUGAUUUGGAUACUGUCUCGGAGAGGGGCUCGGUGAAAUAGACUUGUCUGUGAAGAUGCGGACUACCUGCACCAGGACAGAAAGACCCUAUGAAGCUUUACUGUAACCUGAAAUUGAAAUUGGACUUUACUUGCGCAGUAUAGGUGGGAGGCGUUGAGAAUAUUCUUGCGGGAUUAUUGGAGCCAUCAGUGAGAUACCACUCUUGUAAUGUUAGAUUUCUAACUUUGUAUCAUUAUCUGGUCAAAGAACAGUUACAGGCGGGCAGUUUGACUGGGGCGGUCGCCUCCUAAACGGUAACGGAGGCGCACAAAGGUUUCCUCUGAACGGGUAGAAAUCGUAUCUAGAGUGUAAAGGCAUAAGGAAGCUUGACUGUGAGACCUACAAGUCGAGCAGGGACGAAAGUCGGUCUUAGUGAUCUGACGGUGCUGAGUGGAAAGGCCGUCACUCAACGGAUAAAAGUUACUCUAGGAUAACAGGCUGAUCUCCCCCAAGAGUUCACAUCGACGGGGAGGUUUGGCACCUCGAUGUCGGCUCAUCGCAUCCUGGGGCGGUAGUACGUCCCAAGGGUUGGGCUGUUCGCCCAUGAAAGCGGUACGCGAGCUGGGUUCAGAACGUCGUGAGACAGUUCGGUCCAUAUCCGGUGUAGGCGUUAGAAUAUUGAGAGGAGCCUUCUUUAGUACGAGAGGACCGAGAAGGACAUACCUCUGGUGUACCAGUUAUCGUGCCAACGGUAAACGCUGGGUAGCUAUGUGUGGAGUGGAUAACCGCUGAAAGCAUCUAAGUGGGAAGCCCACCUCAAGAUAAG